GCCAGGCAGGGUGGUGCAUGCCUGUAAUCCCAGAGGUGUUGGAGGCUGAGGCAGGAGGAUUGUGAGUUCAAAGCCCGCUUCAGAAACUUAGGGAGGCCCUAAGCAACUCAGUGAAACCCUGUCUCAA
rnacentral:sRNA from 1 species